CCGUCCUAACUCGAGCUCAAUCAAAUGGGGCCCCAGAGAAUCUACGACUGGUGGUCGAGACGUCUUGAGGGGUCUCACUCCCAGACUGGUCUCGAAUGUCGGUCCGAUGCCGCUAGAGCCGCACGCCGGAAGUGGAAGUGGGAAAUAGAGAAAAGAUCACCAUCUCCAUCCAAAAGCCCUUUUCUAGUCUUGCUACUGAGUUAUUAUGUGGAAGAAGAGACUUGAUGAAGUUUAAAAGUAAUCUUACCACAACUCCACUGAGCUGCUUUGCAAUUUUGUUAAAAUGCAACUGCUGGGAUGAUCUGCAGGGACUCAAAGGUAAGUAUCUUCUUCUAUACAAUGAACUGGAAGACCUGAGAAGAAGGAAAUGGCCAACUACUUCAGUAUCUUAGCCAAGAAAACCCCACAAGAGCUCACUAAGAGUCAGAUAGGACUCACACAACAACAACAAAAGGGUAACUCCAGAGACUGAUUGCGGAGAUAAGCAGGAGGAACUGAAGAGAAAUAAGAAACAGAAGGAAUCUUCUCCAGAGGGAUAGUGCCUCAGAUUGGUUUUGAAGUCAGAGAGGUUUUGUUUCAUUCUUCCAUAAAAAAAUCAAGAUCUAAUUCAGCACCAUCUAUCUUUUUCUCCUAAAAUAAAAUGAAUCUGAAAGGUUGUUUUAUUCCUACAUACUUGCAUCUUCUGGAAUCAAAGGGAAACCUAGAAUGGAAUAUGCUAGAACUUGAAGACCCCUUAGAGGUCAUUGACUCCAAAGCUAUCAUUUUUGCAGAUGGGGAAACUGAGAACCAAAGAAAUGGAACUAUCACUACAAACAAAUCACCCUAUUCCUAAAUCCACAAAAUCCAUCCAUCUCCUGUUUGUAUUCCCCCAAAUGCCUCAUAAAUGUCCUAUCCUGCCCAGAAGGUCAUUAUAAAAAGAAAUGAUGAGGAAAGAUGAAACAUUAUAGCUGACUAAUCUACCGGAGACACAGAGAAUAUUUAUUCAGCCAGGGGUGAAACGCUGGGGACCUUAUGUAAUUCACUAACAGGAAUAUUCCUUCUCCAGCUCAUGCAUUUCAUCACUCUCAUUCCCUUUGGUACGGAAAUAUGUUUACCCUCUUUCAUAAACUUGAAAUUAACUCCAAUAAAGAAAGGAGUCAUAUUUAGAAGAAAA